rnacentral:sRNA from 1 species
CACCUGAGAUCCAGGCUCUGCUAGACUUGUCCCCAACGUCCUACUCCCCCAGUCUCCCACAGUCAGGGUGCCCCAUAUCAGCUGAGACCUAGGGUUCUGUCUGAAUUUGUUUGUUGUUUCCUAAGGUUCUAACCUGGCAUCUUGCUCAAACUCCUUGGAGGACUCAGACAACCACAGGGAGCCUGAGAAGGAGCUGUUGUCUGGUGGACUUAAUCAUCGCCCAGACAAGACACAUGAUAAGGUGAGCAGUUCAGCUGUGUGACACACUCCUGUGAUAUGUUGCAUUACCCUGGGUCCAAAGCAAAGGGACCAACCAAUCCAGGUGGAGACUUCCAAACUGAUUUCUCACUGUGACCCUGGGUGCCCUGGAAGUCUCUUCAGAGGCCAGGCUGGCCUUGAACUCAAAAGAUGUGCUUGCCUCUGCCUCCCGAGUGCUGGCAUUAAAGGUGUGCACCAGCAUCAGCAAUCACCACCACUCAGCUUGAGCAUCAUCUUAUUUAAGUCAUUGCAACAGAGGGAUCUGCCCAGCAAAUGACAAAGGUCCUACAGCUGGGAGAGAAGCACAGUUGGAUUUUGCCUCUGGACUUACAGGUAUGGUUGUAUAAGGACGUCAGCUUGCUCCAAAGCAUCUAUAAGGAGAAGAGCAUCGACAAAGCAUCUAUUUCAGUGUGCCAGGAAUUCAUGCUUUUAUGCUUGAAGAACUACUGAAUCCGGCUGAGAACAGCAGAAGCCCAUGGUGUCCUGGACGGAAGUUGCUCUCCCCAGUUCAGCUGAGAAUUUGGAAAUACCAACAGAUGUUUCCAUGGGAACGAGCCUCAGAGAUCAUGAUAAAUAAGAGCAUCCUCCAGAGUAAGAACUUGGGCUGAGUGAUUCCAGCAGCGGAGAAGCUGGAAGAGUGACGACACAAUCCAGCAGAAAUAGCCAGGCCUCUGACAAGUCGGUGGGAGCGAUUAGGACCAGCCAGGACCCUAGGAGAAGUUCUCUGCCGAGUGUGCCUCUCACGACAAAGAAGACCAGCAAAGACGUGAACCCAAUGAAGUGUUGCAAAGCUGUCUCUGCAAGCACCCAGUCACGGUCCAUUGAGUCUUAUGUAUACUCUCUCCAAACAUGUGUCCUCCCACGGGCCUUGCCUCAGCAAAACGCCAUGUAAAUCUGCAUCACAUGAUAUAUCCGGAAACUUUCGCUUCCCAGUCUGAAAUAACUAUUUUCACUCUCUAGCCAUAGCCCUCUGAAUGUACCCCAUCUUGUCUGAAAUGAAUACUUUAAUGUAUUAUUUACUUUACUUGGUAAUUAUGGUUUUGCAUGCUGUAUUACCUACUCUGGUGACACUGAACAAAGGCCUGAGAGGAGCAACUUGGAGGAAGAAAGGUACAUUUUGGCUUAUGGUUUCAGUCAGUCACGGUGAGGAAGGCAGGGCAGAGUGGCUCUAUUCAUGGUGGCAGGAGUGUGAGGUGAUGGCUUGUUUACGUGGUGGCAGACAGGAAACAAAGAGAGUAGGCAGCACUGAGACAAGCAGACAGAGGGGAUAGUUUAGUAACCAGGACUCUACUUAUUUUGGGUUCUGCACAUACCUUUCUUUUAAUAAUGCACGUGGCAGCCCAAAAGCCUUACCUACGGGUACCAGGCACGCACACAUGCAGUACUACGUACUGAGCAAUGCACCUAGCAUCUGUUAGUGACCUAGGACCCUCAUCUGCACCAAGCUACAUACACGCCCCAGUUUGAACAGUCAGUCUCUCUCUCCUUAUUAGCCAUCAAACUUAGACAGAUUAUAUUCCAUUGUGCUCUGCUUAUCAGGAAUGAAGUCAGCUUGAACUGGCUUUGGUUGCAUGUACAAUGUAAAACUGCUCUCAAGUAAACUUUAAGGGAUCGUCCUCUAUUUAUUAUCUUAUGCCUGUGCAUAAUUAGGUAUGCCUAUGAUUAAAAUCAGGUGUAUUAUGGGAAGAGACACACAUAGUAGAAAAAUGAUUGUAUGAUCCAAUCUAUUAAUAUACAUACUACACUCUUAGGAACCAAACUCUUCCUUUUCUGAGCCCCCUGUGUUGAUGACUGUGGCCUGUGUUUCCACCAGAGACCAUGUGGAUGUCCACGGUCUAUGCUGUGGCCUGAAGCCAUGUUAGUGUCCCUGGGCAGUGCAGCCACCAAGGGCCAUGUUGAUGUGAAUAGCCAUGCUGAGGCCUGAGGUCUGUGGUCUGUGCUGCCCCCGAAGCCAGGGCUGUGUUUGUGGUCUGUGCUGUGGCCCGGAACCACAGGGAAGCCCAUAAUCUGAGCUCUCGCUGACCACAAAGAGCAAGGAAGUUGGUUUUGCAGUGCUAUCGAUGACUGCCGAUGCAUAGUUGAAAAGGGACAUGGAAGGCUUCUGUGACACCUCCCCAGCCCCCAAGAAAAGUAGCAGCUUAAACGGGAAGAUAUUGAAGAGAACUCUUACAACGUGCAAUAAGAAUGCUGAAGUUAGCCCUCCACAGUAGACGGCGCCAGGCAGGGCUGCAGGAUGACAACGACUGCGUUCUAUUUGGGGGCAGGCCCCUGAGAGUUUGACC